UGGAAGCGUCUGGAAAGGCGCGCGAUACAGGGUGACAGCCCCGUACACAAAAAUGCACAUACUGUGAGCUCGAUGAGUAGGGCGGGACACGUGGUAUCCUGUCUGAAUAUGGGGGGACCAUCCUCCAAGGCUAAAUACUCCUGACUGACCGAUAGUGAACCAGUACCGUGAGGGAAAGGCGAAAAGAACCCCGGCGAGGGGAGUGAAAAAGAACCUGAAACCGUGUACGUACAAGCAGUGGGAGCCUCUUAAUGGGGUGACUGCGUACCUUUUGUAUAAUGGGUCAGCGACUUAUAUUCUGUAGCAAGGUUAACCGAAUAGGGGAGCCGAAGGGAAACCGAGUCUUAACUGGGCGUUAAGUUGCAGGGUAUAGACCCGAAACCCGGUGAUCUAGCCAUGGGCAGGUUGAAGGUUGGGUAACACUAACUGGAGGACCGAACCGACUAAUGUUGAAAAAUUAGCGGAUGACUUGUGGCUGGGGGUGAAAGGCCAAUCAAACCGGGAGAUAGCUGGUUCUCCCCGAAAGCUAUUUAGGUAGCGCCUCGUGAAUUCAUCUCCGGGGGUAGAGCACUGUUUCGGCAAGGGGGUCAUCCCGACUUACCAACCCGAUGCAAACUGCGAAUACCGGAGAAUGUUAUCACGGGAGACACACGGCGGGUGCUAACGUCCGUCGUGAAGAGGGAAACAACCCAGACCGCCAGCUAAGGUCCCAAAGUCAUGGUUAAGUGGGAAACGAUGUGGGAAGGCCCAGACAGCCAGGAUGUUGGCUUAGAAGCAGCCAUCAUUUAAAGAAAGCGUAAUAGCUCACUGGUCGAGUCGGCCUGCGCGGAAGAUGUAACGGGGCUAAACCAUG
rnacentral:rRNA from 1 species